AACGAACGCUGGCGGCGCGCCUAAUACAUGCAAGUCGAACGAGAAGGUGUAGCAAUACACUUGUACAGUGGCGAACGGGUGAGGAAUGCAUGGGUAACCUACCCUCGAGUGGGGAAUAACCAGCCGAAAGGUUGGCUAAUACCGCGUACGUUUCCCGGUCUACGGAUCGGGAAAGAAAGUCAUACCGUGGGUAUGACGCUCAAGGAUGGGCUCAUGUCCUAUCAGCUUGUUGGUAGGGUAACGGCCUACCAAGGCUCCGACGGGUAGCUGGUCUGAGAGGACGAUCAGCCACACUGGCACUGCGACACGGGCCAGACUCCUACGGGAGGCAGCAGUGAGGAAUAUUGCGCAAUGGGCGAAAGCCUGACGCAGCGACGCCGCGUGGGGAUGAAGGUCUUCGGAUUGUAAACCCCUUUCGGGAGGGAAGAUGGUUGCAUACAACUGCAACGGACGGUACCCCAGAAGCAGCCACGGCUAACUUCGUGCCAGC
rnacentral:rRNA from 1 species